GUGGAGCCAACCUUGAAAUACCACCCUUUAAUGUUUGAUGUUCUAACGUUGGCCCCUUACCGGGGUUGCGGACAGUGUCUGGUGGGUAGUUUGACUGGGCGGUCUCCUCCCAAAGCGUAACGGAGGAGCACGAAGGUUAGCUAAUCCUGGUCGGACAUCAGGAGGUUAGUGCAAUGGCAUAAGCUAGCUUGACUGCGAGCGUGAGGCGCGAGCAGGUGCGAAAGCAGGUCAUAGUGAUCCGGUGGUUCUGAAUGGAAGGGCCAUCGCUCAACGGAUAAA
rnacentral:rRNA from 1 species